rnacentral:lncRNA from 1 species
UAGAGUCCAGCUAACAGACCACUGCAGUUCGACGGAGCCAGAUCCCAGGUCUGAAAUGGAAAGAGAUGUUACCCUAGAUGCCCGGAGACAGCGGGGCCGCAGAGACCUCGCACAGCCGAAUAGCAGUGGAGCAGAUUUCUCAGGUCCUGCCCAAAUCUAUGGAAUCAGAAUUUCUGGAGCAGUCCAUGGGAAUCGGCAUUUUACCAAUCCCUCUGCUACCUCCUCCUCUAAGAUCCGAAGUCAGAUGGUUCACAGAACACAUAUCAUAAAACGUGGUGCUGAUGGAGGCCUUGGGCCCUUGUCUGGCUUGCUCAGGCUGCUAUAACAAAACACUGUAAACUGGAUGACUUAUAAACAACAGCAAUUUAAUUCUCACAGUUCUGGAGGCUGGAAGUCCAAGAUUGGAUUUGGUUUCUGGGAAGGAAGAGCUGAAGGACCCUGGGGAUGAUUGAACAUAGCCUCUCACCAGCGCGCUCAGGAAUUGUCCUGAGAGCAGCAGGAGGAGUGGUAAUCCUGCAAGAGAAGGUGGCUUUGUUGAGAGCCUUUAAAUUCAGCUUUAUUACUCGCCAGUCUCCUUCCUUGUGUUCUGGCCAUAUUUCUUAUCCAUUAGGCAGCCAGCCCUUCACAUGAGAUCCUCCUGGUUUUGCAUUCUUUUCUGCAAUGCUGACACUUCCUUCUAGUUACACCCUUUGGCACUCUAAUCUGUGGUCUUAGUUUUAGUCACUGAUGAAGAUAUUUGGCACAUUAACUCUUAUUUCAGUUAACACCAGAUGAAGUGAACUCAAUUCCUCUUCUCACACAAAAGUUGGCCCCAAACUAGUUCAAAAAUAUAUUUGAAUUCUUUCUUGGCUAGUGUCGGUUAUUUGUGUCCCUUUAGUGAUCUGAUUAAUAUUUGCUUUUGUGAUGGUUGUCACAUCAAGAUAGCUGCAAGCAUUGUUAAAGAGACAUUUGAUAAGAGGGACUACUUACCUGGAAUUCACCCCCAGACCACCGAAAUCUUAACUACUGAUGACAGUUUUGUGUAUCCUUUAAGGAGCUCUUGAACUCUGAAUUCUAUAGAGAAAAUAAAAAGAUUUGUUGAAAAUGACUGACCCCAUGUGGGUUGAGAACUAUAUCCAGUUAACUAAACUGUAAACAGCUAACUGAAUCUGUUAACAGUUAAGUAUGUUAUCUAUAAAAUAAGCUUCAAGUAGCACUGUGUUGUAACUUCUUGGUGCCUCCAAAUUAAGAGUUAAACCCUUAGAUCUGGCUAAGGAAAUGACUUUAUCCUAGCCCAAAGGAGACCUUUUCCUCAACUCUUCCUCCAUUAUUUUUAUUCUCUAUUGUUUACUCAUCGUCUCAUAUGUCCCCUGUCAUGUUACAUUGGAAUCAUUUCUUUUAGAUGCAAACUGCAGCUGAUGUGUUCAUUGGGUCUAUUGCAGCCCCCACCAAGUGUUCACUUCUGGUGAGAGGCAUAUCCAGGGCCUGAGUGCUGGAACCCAAAGAUGACAAGGGUGGAGCAUUGAUGAGUUAACCUCGCAGCUGGAGGGUCUGUGCUGCAUAGUCUCCCCUUGGGCCAUGAGAGCACAUGCUUGAGAAUUACAUAAGCCUGUAGCAGGGCAGGGCUCAGGGCUACGGAAUUGAUAACACCAGUGGGACUAAGGCAUCCACCAUCUGUUCUUUGUUAUGUUCAUGCCCAUCACCAAAGUAAAAAUCACAGUCAUCCUUCUCUCCACCAUUUCUGUCUCAAUCAAUCACUUCCUCCUAGGCUGGCCAAAUUAUCUUCUUCAACUUGCCAGAGGAAGAGGGAAUGUCUUUUGGUAAGGCACAGAGGAGCCCUUGGUUUUCCAGUUACACUCCUGCUAAUUGCAGAGAUUUCUCAGUUCGUGGUAAUCAUGGAGGCUUGCAUCUUUAAGCGCUUGCCAUCUGCAAAAACUGGCCCCAGUUGCUAUCCGGAGAUGGCAUCUCCCACUGAAAUCUGCAUGAACUUUGUCCCUGUGGGCUGCAGGGACCUGAGUAGUUUUCAAGUCCCUGGCUUUUGAUAGGAAGCAAAAAGCUUCUAGAUUGAGUACAGCCUGAAAAAGGAAGAGAAAUCGUGAUACUUCCUGUGUUGCAAUAACAAACACCCGUCCUAACUGCUGCUAGACAGGGAACUGGCAGUUUAACCUCUUCCUGCUCACUAGGGAGGUGGGGCAGGGCGAGUGGGAGUGGGGAGCUCCCCUUUCUUGCAGGCUCCAUCCACAGAACACUUCCUACAAACCCCUUCCUGCCUUUGUAAUCCUAGUGUUGCAAAGCUGCCCUGUCUGCUCUGUGCAGAGCCCUCUCUGUGCUCUGCCUCGCCUGUGCCCUCUCUAAUUGCCCUCUUCCUUACAAAAUCCAGCUGCCGGUUGAGGCUUCUCUCCCUGAAUUUACAGCCGUCUAAUCAACUGGUAAUUUACUUUCAAUCAGU